GGGGAUAGAGCUCAGCAACACAGCGCCUGCCUGGCAAGCAUGAGGUCCUGAGUUUGAUUCCCAGUAUCCUCC
rnacentral:tRNA from 1 species